rnacentral:rRNA from 1 species
GCGAGCGAAAUCGGAGGAGCCUAGUCCUCUUUAGCAUCGAACUUAUCAAAGCUAAUUUGCCUGCGAAAAGCUUCGGGGAGCUGGCAAAUUAGCUUUGAUCCGGAGAUAUCCGAAUGGGGAAACCCACCCGCAAGGGUAUCAACAACUGAAUACAUAGGUUGUUGAGGCGAACCGAGUGAACUGAAACAUCUAAGUAACUCGAGGAAAAGACAUCAACCGAGAUUCCGAAAGUAGUGGCGAGCGAAAUCGGAGGAGCCUAGUCCUCUUUAGCAUCGAACUUAUCAAAACAGCUUGGAAACGCUGGCCAUAGUGGGUGAUAGCCCCGUAUGAGAAAAGUUUGGUGUGGAACUGAGUGGACGAUAAGUAGGGCGGGACACGAGAAAUCCUGUCUGAAGAUGGGGGGACCAUCCUCCAAGGCUAAAUACUCGUAAUCGACCGAUAGUGAACAAGUACCGUGAGGGAAAGGCGAAAAGAACCCCGGGAGGGGAGUGAAAUAGAUCCUGAAACCGCAUGCAUACAAAAAAGUCGGAGCCGCAAGGUGACGGCGUACCUUUUGUAUAAUGGGUCAGCGACUUACAUUCAGUGGCGAGGUUAACCGAAUAGGGAAGCCGAAGAGAAAUCGAGUCCGAAUAGGGCGUCUAGUCGCUGGGUGUAGACCCGAAACCAAGUGAUCUAUCCAUGGCCAGGAUGAAGGUGCGGUAACACGCACUGGAGGUCCGAACCGACUAAUGUUGCAAAAUUAGCGGAUGAGCUGUGGAUAGGGGUGAAAGGCUAAACAAACUUGGAAAUAGCUGGUUCUCUCCGAAAACUAUUUAGGUAGUGCCUCAAGUAUUACCAUCGGGGGUAGAGCACUGUUUAGGCUAGGGGGUCAUGGCGACUUACCAAACCUAUGCAAACUCCGAAUACCGAUGAGUACAGCUUGGGAGACAGUGCACCGGGUGCUAACGUCCGGACACAAGAGGGAAACAACCCAGACCGCCAGCUAAGGUCCCUAAAAUUGGCUAAGUGGGAAACGAAGUGGGAAGGCUAAAACAGUCAGGAUGUUGGCUUAGAAGCAGCCAUCAUUUAAAGAAAGCGUAAUAGCUCACUGAUCGAGUCGUCCUGCGCGGAAGAUGUAACGGGGCUCAAGCCAGUUACCGAAGCUGCGGAUUCACAGUUUACUGUGAGUGGUAGGAGAGCGUUCUGUAAGCCUGAGAAGGUGUCUUGAGAAGGAUGCUGGAGGUAUCAGAAGUGCGAAUGCUGACAUGAGUAGCGUUAAAGGGGGUGAAAAGCCCCCUCGCCGAAAGCGCAAGGUUUCCUACGCAACGUUCAUCGGCGUAGGGUGAGUCGGCCCCUAAGGCGAGGCAGAGAUGCGUAGCUGAUGGGAAACAGGUUAAUAUUCCUGUACCGAUCUAUGGUGCGAUGUGGGGACGGAGAAGGUUAGCUCAGCCAACUGUUGGAAUAGUUGGUUCAAGCCUGUAGUCGUGCCUGGUAGGCAAAUCCGCCGGGCUUAGAUGAGGGGUGAUAACGGGUCUGCUUGCAGACGAAGUGAGUGAUACCCUGCUUCCAGGAAAAGCCACUAAGCUUCAGCCAUAGACGACCGUACCGCAAACCGACACUGGUGCGCGAGAUGAGUAUUCUAAGGCGCUUGAGAGAACUCUGGAGAAGGAACUCGGCAAAUUGACACCGUAACUUCGGAAGAAGGUGUGCCUUUAGUAGGUGAACCAUUUACUUGGGGAGCCCAAUGAGGUCGCAGAGAAUCGGUGGCUGCAACUGUUUAAUAAAAACACAGCACUCUGCAAAGACGAAAGUCGACGUAUAGGGUGUGACGCCUGCCCGGUGCUGGAAGAUUAAUUGAUGGGGUGCAAGCUCUUGAUCGAAGUCCCAGUAAACGGCGGCCGUAACUAUAACGGUCCUAAGGUAGCGAAAUUCCUUGUC